rnacentral:rRNA from 1 species
CCUACGGGAGGCAGCAGUGAGGAAUAUUGGUCAAUGGGCGUAAGCCUGAACCAGCCAAGUCGCGUGAGGGAUGAAGGUUCUAUGGAUUGUAAACCUCUUUUAUCAGGGAAUAAAGUGUGGGACGUGUGCUAGUUUGUAUGUACCUUAUGAAUAAGCAUCGGCUAACUCCGUGCCAGCAGCCGCGGUAAUACGGAGGAUCCGAGCGUUAUCCGGAUUUAUUGGGUUUAAAGGGUGCGUAGGCGGACUGUUAAGUCAGCGGUAAAAGCCCGGGGCUCAACCCCGGCGAGCCGUUGAAACUGGCUGUCUUGAGAUGUCGAGAGGUAUGCGGAAUGCGCGGUGUAGCGGUGAAAUGCUUAGAUAUUGCGCAGAACUCCGAUUGCGAAGGCAGCAUACCGGCGGCGAACUGACGCUGAGGCACGAAAGCGUGGGUAUCGAACAGGAUUAGAUACCCCUGUAGUC